rnacentral:lncRNA from 1 species
ACUUGCUUUGGCCAAAGACUUUCUGAACUCAAUCUUGCAAAUCAUAUAGGACUUCUUCUUUUCUAUCAAGAUCGAUGGAUUCCAUCUAAAUGCAUUCUACUCUAAAUAGCGGACCUAAACCUACUGAAGCCAACAUACACAGCAAGGGUCCGAAUGGUUAGGGAUCAAUAAAACAUGCAAUCAAACUCAGUAGUCUCAUUGCGAAUAGCCAAUGACACCAC